rnacentral:rRNA from 1 species
GAGAUGUGGGUAGUCCGUACGAGCGCACCUUGUCCUUAUUUGCCAGCACGUAAUGGUGGGAACUCUAAGGAGACUGCCGGUGACAAACCGGAGGAAGGUGGGGACGACGUCAAGUCAUCAUGGCCCUUAUGACCAGGGCUACACACGUGCUACAAUGGAGCGUACAGAGGGUUGCUAAGCCGCGAGGUGGAGCCAAUCCCAGAAAACGUUUCGUAGUCCGGAUCGAAGUCUGCAACUCGACUUCGUGAAGUCGGAAUCGCUAGUAAUCGCGAAUCAGCAUGUCGCGGUGAAUACGUUCCCGGGCCUUGUACACACCGCCCGUCACACCAUGGGAGUGGGUUGCAAAAGAAGUGGCUAGUCUAACCUUCGGGAGGAUGGUCACCACUUUGUGAUUCAUGACUGGGGUGAAGUCGUAACAAGGUAGCCCUAGGGGAGCCUGGGGCUGGAUCACCUCCUU